AUGUAAUGUAAUGCCUACAAUGUUAAUUCAUUGGAUCCCAUUAGAAAUCCGUAGUUAAGUGUGAUUGGGGUAAAGUAGUACUGGGAUGGGUGACCUCCUGGGAAGUCCUAGUGUUUUACAUG
rfam:Picea glauca, whole genome shotgun sequence.